UAUAAAUGUUGACACAUUGCCUAGUG
rnacentral:piRNA from 1 species